rnacentral:rRNA from 1 species
CAGCGCCACGAGUGGCAAUCACGAUUAUUGGGCCUAAAGCGUCCGUAGCCGGUUCGGUAAAUCCUUUGUGAAAUCGCCAGGCUUAACCUGGCGGCGUGCAGGGGACACUGCCGAACUCGAGACCGGGAGGAGUUAGAAGUAUUUUGGGGGGAGCGGUAAAAUGCUAUAAUCCCCGAAGGACUACCUAUGGCGAAGGCAUCUAACUAGAACGGAUCUGACGGUGAGGGACGAAAGCCAGGGGAGCGAACCGGAUUAGAUACCCGAGUAGUCC